rnacentral:rRNA from 1 species
UGAACGCUAGCGGCAGGCCUAAUACAUGCAAGUCGGACGGGAUUCAGGGAGUAGCUUGCUACAAACUGAUGAGAGUGGCGCACGGGUGUGUAACGCGUGAGCAACCUACCCAUAUCAGGGGGAUAGCCUCUCGAAAGAGAGAUUAACACCGCAUAACAUCAUUUACCGGCAUCGGAUUAUGAUCAAAUAUUUAUAGGAUAUGGAUGGGCUCGCGUGACAUUAGCUAGUUGGAGGGGUAACGGCCCACCAAGGCUACGAUGUCUAGGGGCUCUGAGAGGAGAAUCCCCCACACUGGUACUGAGACACGGACCAGACUCCUACGGGAGGCAGCAGUAAGGAAUAUUGGUCAAUGGAGGAACUCUGAACCAGCCAUGCCGCGUGCAGGAUGACUGCCCUAUGGGUUGUAAACUGCUUUUGUCAGGGAAUAAACCUUUCCACGUGUGGGAAGCUGAAUGUACCUGAAGAAUAAGGA